rnacentral:tRNA from 1 species
ACGCCUAUAGCUUAAUGGAAAAAGCGCUAUCCUCCGAAGAUAGAUAUUCUAGGUUCAAAUCCUGGUAGGCGUA